AUACGAAAGGUGCAAGCGUUGUUCGGAUUUACUGGGCGUAAAGAGAGUGUAGGUGGUUUAUUAAGUCGGAUGUGAAAUCCCGGGGCUCAACCUCGGAACUGCAUUCGAUACUGAUAGGCUAGAGUUUGGGAGGGGUAAGCGGAAUUCCGUGUGUAGCAGUGAAAUGCGUAGAUAUACGGAGGAACACCUGAGGCGAAGGCGGCUUACUGGACCAAUUCUGACACUGAGACUCGAAAGCGUGGGUAGCAAACAGGAUUAGAAACCCCGGUAGUCC
rnacentral:rRNA from 1 species